UUUAAAAUUUGAAGUUCUCUCUCAAGUUUAGACAUAACUGUUAUAAUUUAAAGUUUGCUCUAAACCUGAACUUGUGGGAAGAGAACUUAAUCUGAAGUCUAAGUUGUUAACGGAUAUGAUACGGGAAGGUUGAGCUGCUAUUUAUCUGUUCGUAGAGAUGCUAGAAUUCUGGAGAACGUUGUAUUUGAAAAUCUUUAAAAUAAUACAUGAUGAGUUCCUGUAUGAUGAGAGUUUAAAUUCCUACCACAGCCAUAUAUACAUGCUUGCUAGACUUUGAGCCACACAUUUACUUUUUUACUGCUUAUGAGCAUUGAGUGUGGUCAAGCUGUGUAGACCCUUAGGAGCUUGUGAUGUGGUUAAAUCAAGAUUCACUUGCACGUUCACUCACACAUGCUGCUUCUACUCCGGAAGUACGCAUCCACAUAUAUCCACCCAUUUCCAUCUCCAGAACCACCCAAAAAUAUUCUACUCCUAAUCCGGGAGAGAACGGCCAAAAAUAUAUCUGUUUUCCCUUGUAAAAUAAAUGCUCAAGUUAUCUUCGUUACUACCACUUGCUAUAUUAUUUCAGGAGAUGAGUGUUCUAAAAAAAAGAAGAUAUGAGGAAAUAAAAAUAGGCAAGUGCCCGGAACCUCGAAAGAAAAGAAAAGGUGAGACGAGAGGUAAAAAUGGACAAGUGUCCGAUAGUAGAAUUAGGGGUACAAGAUACCCACCUGAGAGGAAAGAAAAAGAAAAAUAUAGAGUAUCUCAUUCUCCUCAAAAAGUUUCAAAGAGCAAGGAAGGUAUGUAUCCCCUCAAAGAGCAAAAGUAGAAUUAGACUUUCACCAUUGCUAUCACCAUCAUCACCAUACGCCAUUCAUUCGCCACACAUGCAUAUCUUGAUUUGACUUAUUGAUUUGUUUCUUUGGAUCCGUGGUUUGACUAUACAAUAAAUGUCCUGUGAGUAUGUAUACUUUAUCUCCCACCUAUGAGCUCUAGAUAUUAAAGCCUUAUUAGAGUAGGGUGAGAGAGAAGGCAAUGUCACUAUGCUUUAUACCACAAAUACUACAUAUUUUGAGUGAAGGCAUAUACCAUCACUACCUUGGUAAGGAUCCAGAAAUACCACAAAAGAAGUCAUACAAGGAAUCUCUGAGUUUUAUUUGAAAAUCUACAAAAACUCCAGAGCUAUAGUUGAUCAAGAAUAAGAGAUAUGGCACUUGACUAGCACUACAAGAAACAUUGUAAUCUAUGACGAAUUCUUUGUGACGAAUUUAGAGAACGUCGCUAACAAUACAGACUCGCGUAUAUCAUGGUGGAUAUCCAACCCAUAGCCCAGUUCAGACUCGCGUAUAUAAUGCAGCUCCAAAACCUAAUCCCACCCCUUCUCGGUACUUCUGUCACCAGCCGCCGCCCCACACCAAACCAUCCCAGCUGCUGACCACACGCAUCCCACAUGGUUCAGUGGCCGCCUCCACCCCACCCCAUUGGAGCACGCCGAGUUGCCAAGUCCAGCGCAUGCAUGUAGAGGACGACGGUGGCAGCACCCAAACCUAGUUGUCGCCCUGACGAUUGAGCCAUUCGGGAAGCUAUCUGCGCCUGCAUCCAGAUCUGGCGUCCUCGCGCUGCCACCGCUACCUACUAUCCCCGACGUGGAUUGGAGAUCCUGCUAGGGCCUAAUUGCUCCUCCUCCUUCCCUGGUAAGAAAGCCUUUGCUUUGUUUGGCCGUGAUGCUGGAUUACUUGCUUUGUCCUGGAAGAAGAAUCCAAUCCGUCCAGAUAGUUGCAGUGUGGAAUCCUGUGCUAUGUGCGUCCGUAGUUUUUGAAGUUUUUAGAGCCCUAUGUGCCUUUAGCUUUGGAUCCAUUGCAGGCAGCCCCAAUCUAUCGUGGAUGUCACGGAUCUGCAAUGUUCUGAAUUUUCUAGGAUCCAGUGCAACUCCAAUCCAUCAUGGAUGUGCAGGAUCUGAAUUUUUCUUGAUAGUAACUAGUAUGAGCAAAUUUGUAUCCAAUGAAAUCGUUCUCUAGCUGAUAAAUGACACUUGGACAUCAGGACUUAUUUUUAGAUAGCUUGUUCUACUUUCUGUGCUCAUUUUUUCCUUGCAAACACUUGAUAAAUAUAUCCCAUGGCUAAAUGAGUUGCCUGCAGUGACUCGAUAUCUCCAAUUUGGUGGAUGUAAGUUUCUGUUGGUUUGCAGGAGCACUGGAUGAACAUGCUUUCUGCGUUCUCUAAUUGGCAGCACAUUAACUGAAUGAAGGGUUUGUGCAGAUUAUUCAUUGGACUCUGCUCCACUCUGGUACUAAUAAUUUCGACUAUUGCUCAUACUAUUUGCCAUGGUCAUCUUUCCAUUCUUUAUGCUAUAGUGCUAAUCUACAAUUAGCCUAUACAAAAAAUAAAGCAUCCUUUCACUAGAAUUUUUCUAGAUAAAUGCAAGUGCUUUUUGAUUAAUAGUAUCUAGUUAUUGAGCUCCUUUGGUGGACUGUUUGUCUGUUGAUUAUUUUGUAGGAUACAAUACUAUGGUCCAUUGAUUAUUAUUUUCUAGGAUACAGUACUAUGGUCCAUUGAUUAUUAGUAAGUCCUGUUUAUUUCUAGAAUUCACUUAUUGAUUAAGUUGCCUCUAUGUAACGGACUUUCAUCUUUUUGGAUAAUUCUCUCUUUUAAGUCUUGUUUUUUCUAGCAUGACAAGGCAAUUGUGCCAAACCAACUCGAAAUAACAGCUACAAGGUUGGAGGGGACCGAAUUGUUGCUAGGAUGGAGGAGACAAAACAGUUACAUGGUUGGAGGCGAUAAAUAUGUCGAUAUGGUUGUAUGAAUAUUAUUAGUUGUAUAAAUUGCUACAUGGAUGGCGAUAAAUAUGUCGAUAUUGGUUGUAUGAAUAUUAUUAGUUGUAUAAAUUAGUAUUGUUUUAAAUCUCUUUGUCAUCUAUGUGUAAAUAGGCGUACUUUUUGUAUAUAUAAACAUAUUUGACUAAAUGGUUUGUAAAUAUGAUUUGAUCUAUUUGGGAAUGCCAAAAAAUAUCAGCAUAUUUAUAUUGACCAUUGGCCCAUUAAUAAAUGGGAUAUGAUUCAUAAAAAAAAGGCCGAAAUGGUGUUGUAAGCAUCCACGUCAUUGUCCACAUAAGCAUUCAUGAUGACAUGUCAAUUCAUCCAUGACGGUUAUUUUUUGUCACAGAAAAUGGACUUGGGUUGGGCUAACUGGGCUUUGGGCUCAACUGUGACGGUCUUAAACCGUCAUAGAUUACAUCAAUCUGUGACGAUUUUUGAAAAACCGUCAUGAGGGUCAAUCCAUGACGAUAUUAAAAACCGUCAUAGAUAUUGAAUUGUGACGGUUUUUUAGCGAUCUAUGACGAAAAUUUUCCGUCAUGAAUUAACAUGAUUCUUGUAGUGUAGACUGUUCUAUCUUUUAACUACUCAAGACAGAAGUGACGGUUACAAGUCCCAUGGUAAAAGGUAAAAUAAGUACGUUUUAAGUCUUGAUAGUUUACUCUAACUCAGAAAUGAGACCUCAUUUAAAAGCAUGUGUACCGUCAAUUUUUGAAGGUGUUAUAGCAACUUCUGAUCCAUCACUGAGAUUAUCCUUUCUUAGGGACGAGCAAGAGGUAAGAUUGGGGGAGUUUGUUGAUGGUCCUUAAGUAUCAAAUUUAAUUAACAAAUAAGCAAAGAAAAGGAUCUAAAUGCAACCUACAUCCUGACUUAGGGUUUUAUCUGACAGAAUUCCACGAGUUUUGGUGUUUGUCUAUUUCUAUAGGGGGUUAUCAGGAAAUACGGAAGAAAGGCCCACACGUCGGGUUUACAUAGAGAUAUCAACGUGCCGCGCAAUUAUCUUACAUCUAGAAGAGUCCAAAAGCCACGGGAACGAACAGGAGACCGGACGGGCUCGGGGGCGGGGCGCCCGCCCUCCCCCCUAGGGCGCCCGCCAUGGCUUUUCCACCAAUCAUGGCCAAUCUCACAGAUCAUGCUCCACCAACCUAAAGGAACAAGGAUAAUCGUUCAAUCAACGUCGGUUUGAUCCUACGUCCCAUAUUCACUUGGAAGGACUAUAUAACCAGACCCCCUAGCCCAAGGAGGAGAGCACCUCUCAACCCUAAUUCAUUAUUCAUCAGGGAGAAGAAGUCUCUGAUCAAGCCCUAGAGCCACCACAUCAAUUAGAUCUCUAGAUUAGCAUAACUACAUAGGAUUAGAACUAGAAGGAGUCAAUCUUCGAUUGGUUUCCAGAUCUAUCAGGAGGAUUCUUGGUAAUUCUCUAUUGUUCUUCAAUUGUUCAUCUUUGUUCUUCAAUAUUAUGAAUAUGACUUUGUUCUACUUCAAUAUAUUGAUUAUGACUUUGCUCUACUUGUUUAUAUUCACAAUUAUAUUGUUCUUAGUUUAUCAUAGUUAUAUACUUGGCUUAGUUAGAUUGGAAUUAUAUACAUGUUUAGGAUCGUAUAGCGUUUAUCCAUCGGAUCUAUGGGUAAAUGAUAGAUAUUGUGUAGGCGUGGUGCUUAUACCGUAUUUAUCUGCGAUUGUACCCAAUAUGCCAGAUCGUGGGGUAGUUCGUGAUAGUGACAGCUUCAUUGAUUCUUAUAUAGUCCCCCUCUCGUGUAUUGGGCUGGCAGAGCAAUAUUAUUACAGGGGAGUGAUUACUAUGUUUCUCAUUUACCUUGCUAAUAUCACUAUGCAUGGGUGUAGUCUUGUCUCGCAAUGAUUGCUAAGUAUGCUUGCACUAAUUAUGAUAAUGGUAGACUAUAUAGUUGAGAAUAACUUAGGGAAUAUUCUUGUAGUUCGUUCUAAUACCAUGCUAAUGACUUUCUAGAGUAUCUAAUUAAGGUGCUUAUCAUAUUUAUUAUGUGGCUAGAUCAGAUUAAUUAUCCUUGUCACUAUUUAUUAUUUCAUAUAUCUUUUAUGUGACACUUAUCCCUGUAUGAAGAGUUAGAUAAAUGUUCUCAAUUAUACAUGCAAUGAUAGAUACUCAAUCUCAUAUUCUAUUCUAUUAUCAAUAUUGAUGAUUGUUAAUCCCUUUCCAGUGGUAAAAAUAUAAAUAACGAUACCUGGAAUACUUCUCGGUUAAAAUGCUGCAUCGGUAUUAAUCUGUGUGCUUGCAGAUCCCAUUCAUUAUUUAUUUAGAAGAGCAAUUGCAUAUUUCAAUACCGCGUCUCUCAUAUCAUGCUGGGGAUGACAACUUGGCUUAAGUGGUGUGAGGGAUAGGUUUGACAUUUUUGGCACCGUUACUAGAUUUAGAGAACUUAGUCUACUUUUGGUAAUGAUGUUAAGAAUACCCAACAAGCAUUUUUGGCGCCGUUGCCAGGGAAGGUUGAUUACUAAUCAGGAAUGGAAUAAAAGAUUUUGAGUUAUCAUUCGCACCACUAAUAUGAUUGAGCUUAUCUAUUCUCUCAUACAGUUUUACCCCGAUAUUUUUCUAUUUUAUCUUAUGCAGGGGAAUGUAUGAAUAAAAGACAUCUUCCAGGAAAUUUUGUUGACAAUUCCGAAGCAUUAUUUAAGAAGACGAGAGCCAAGCUCAAGAAGAGAUCAUCAACACUUCAGCAAGAAGCUUCAUCCAAUCAAGAAGAUCACAGGAACAUGUCUUCAGACUUCGAGGCCAUGGCGAACAAAUCAAUCCGCGAGUUCUCAGCUCCCACUACGGACAACAUCCGCAAUGGACCUUGUCGACGAAAGCUAGUCGGCAGUCUACCUUGGGGUAUACCCACGGUAGUAGUUUAUCGGUAGACGGUGCGCAAACUAGGAACUCGAUGGUGACGCAAGACACGGACAAGCUUUUUAUCCAGGUUCGGCCGCCGAGUUGGCGUAAUACCUACGUCCUGCGUCUUGUUGUAUUGGAUUGUGUUGAGAUAAUGUGUUCUAGGGGGGUCCCUUGCCCCUCCUUAUAUAGUCCGGAGGGCAGGGUUACAGAUCUGGAAACUAAUCCUAGUCGGUUACAAUUGCCAUGGAUAGUUCGAUAUCAAUUCCUAUUCUAACCGACUAGAAUCCUGCUUGAUCUCCACGUCUUGUUUCCUUGCGCGAAACUCCAGACAGUCGGAUCAAGCCUCGAGCUGUCCUCGUGAUGGGCCAAGCCUCCUGGCCCAAGUCUAGCCGUAAGGGUAUAGGGGUUUAUACCCCCACAGCUAGUCCCCGAGCACCAUGUAUUGUGAAGUAACACGCCGUCUUGAGCUUCUUCGACCAAUGAAACUUUAUAUCUUUAGUCAUUAUGAAAAUUGCCCAAAUAGUUGCGACAACAGUUUGAACAAAUCUAAAAGCAUCCAAUUAACUUCGUCAUCGAAGAAGCCAAUUGUUCAAAGAAUGCAUGGUGCUCUUGAGAAAAAAUAUUCCUUUUUUGGUGAAGUGUGCCCACUUUACUUUUCGAAAAGUAUAGUCCAUCAAAAAGACAAGCAAGUUCACCGCAAGGUGAAGUGUGCCCACUUAGUCCCCGAGCCUGGUAGGAGGUGACGUAGUCACGUGGUGCCAGGGUCCAAAGAAGAAUCUCCAAAGCUGCUUUGAAUGUGAGAUGCAUCGCUAGAUGCAUCGUACCGAUGUAGUCCCCGAGCUUGCUGGAAGGCGAAGUAUGAGCCUUGUAGCAAGGUCUAAAAAACCGAAAUUAUCCAGUCCCCGAGCAUCUCAUGCUCGUUUACCAUAGAGUUUGCAGUUCGUCGAGCUGGUCAACCAGUCCGCGGGUGUACAACGGUCGGCAAACAGUUCAGCUUGCUAAUUUCCAAAGCAAUAAACUAAGCGACCAGUCCCCGAGCAUUAAGCGCUCGGUGGUCGGAGCAGUCUAAACAAAUCUGACGACCAGUAUCCGAGCACCAAAUGCUCGUUGGUCAGUGCGCUCCUUGAAGUUCUGAGUUGCUUCACUGGACGACCAGUCCCCGAGCAUCGAGUGCUCGGUGGUCGGUGCAGUCGUUGAAUUUCCGGGUUAAUAGACUGGGCGACCAGUCCCCGAGCAUCAAGUGCUCGGUGGUCGGUGCAGUCGCUGAAUUUCCGAGUUAAUGGACUGGGCGACCAGUCCCCGAGCAUCAAGUGCUCGGUGGUCGGUGCAGUCCCCGGAUUGUUGACUCUCUGCCAUUUUUGUCUGCUUGUUUUGAAAAAAUUUCUCUAGAAAAAAGUUGACGUGACGAGACCUCCUGACGGGAUGUCAGAUGGAUGCAUGAAAAGUUGCGCCUGGCAACUGUACAGCCGCCCUUUGCGCGGUUUGAGAAAAGGAAACCAUCAAUUUGUACGAAAACUCCGCCGCAUUAAUUGUCGAUAAUCAUUGGAAACCGAAAUGCCGCAUCCACCGUAUGGCCCGCCCACUUCCCGAGAAUGCGGGAAGUGGGAAGGGUGAAGUUGUGGGUUAUAAGAGCUCGACAGUUCCCCUUGUACUGCUUACCCUGCCAUUGCCUUCAAGCCCUCCACUCUUGCCUCCUUCAAUCACCUACACCUUCCAAACUCGAAUCCACUUCCUCACCUCCAAUGGCGAAGAGCGACUCGAAGAAGAGGGCCGAGCUGAUGGCCAAGGAGUGGAAGAAAUCCCGCAGCACCGCAAAGUCCCUCGGUGACCUCGUCAAUAUGGGGCUACUGCACAGCCCGGAGCUCGGCGGCUGGAGGGGCACCGGAGGGGGAGAGCUACCCCGACCCCCGCGCCGGUGAGAUCGUGUUUGAGGAUUUCCUUAAGAGGGGUUUUGGGGUGCCUGUUCACCCUUUUCUUCAGGGUCUUCUUUUGUAUUAUGAGAUCGGGAUUUGCAAUCUGCACCCGAACUCAAUCCUUCUUGUUUCUACUUUUAUCCAUUUGUGCAAGGCCUAUGUAGGCAUAGAACCGCACUUCGAUCUCUUUCGCUAUCUUUUUUGUUUGAGAAAGAAGGGAGCAGUUGGAGGCUCUAAGGUUGCAGGUGGAGUAUACCUCAACCUUCGCGACGGAAUGAAGAACCGCUAUCUGCACUGCCCCUGGAACACUUCCCUGACUGAGUGGUACAGGAAGUGGUUCUACAUCAGGAAAGAACCGGGCAGCUCCACGUUCUGCGACGUGGGCUACAUCCCCGAGAAGAGGGUGAGCUGGACCGAUCGCCCGGAGUUCGACGGUCAGGUGGCAGACCUAAUGAAGCUGAUCGACUGGUCGCGCCUGGACGGGCUAGGCGUGGUCGGCAACUUUGUGUGCCGUCGGGUGACGUCCUGCCAGAAGAGGGUCCACUCGGCGUACGAGUAUGCCGGAAGCGUGGACCCGACCAGGAUGCGACCCGAGAUCUUGGAGAAGGUGGAGGUACAGCAGCUGUUGAACGAGCUAUUCAACUUCGCGGACGGAGGCUUCAUCCGUGGUAGUGAUCGGGUGCAAGCAUUCAAGUUGGGGCGACCAGCACCUAAGGUAUGUUACUGAUUAUUUUGCUUUAGCAUUCGUAUAUUGUCUGCAGCUGACUUAUCGUUGUUACUUUUGCAGAUCGGAGAUGUUGACCGGUGCACAGUGUACGUAUCACUGGCACCUGGAAUGGAGAAUCCUGCGGGAGAAGAUCCGCGGGAGGAAGACGCUGCUCGGUGUACUCAUUACACCAGCAGUGAGGAGGACCAGGCCCGCCCCGCCCCGACCACCGAGGAUAGAGUGGCGGGGAAAAGGCCAAUGGCGGCGGAUCCGUCGCCGGCGCUGACGCUGCCGGCAGAGAGCAGCCGAGCGCCAAAGCGCCGUCGGUUCGUUCGGAUUACCGACGACGACGACGAGGAGGAGGAGGCCGCACCGUCGUUGGUCCGAAGGCCUCAUAGCCGUCCGGACAGCGUGCCGACCACUGCUGAUCGGGUAUCCAGCGACCCUCCUGCGCCUCGCGUCACGGAGACGGGGGCACAGGUGCCGACUGGCCGGGCAAGGAGGAGGUUCACCGCGACCCACUGUCGAUCGGACCUGUAAGUGUUCAACUUUCGUAUUUUUUUUAGCUGUUGUUGAAAAUAUCGCUCUGUUAUGUAGCGCGGCGUCGGACGUCAACCCCGACCAGGCCGCAGAGCAGGGGGCGGCCGCUCCUGUUGCCGCCGUUGAGGACGCCGCGCCACAGGUCACUGAGCAACCUGCAGCGGCGGCGGGCGCUGAGGAUCAAUCUGCCCCGGCGAGUGCCGAAGAGGGCACUCAGCCGAGGGUUGAGGAGGCAGCAAGGAACCCUCCCCCGAGUACUGUUGCAGAGGGGGAGAGCAGAGUCCCGACUCCUCCAGCCGAAGAAGGGAGGGUGCCGUCACCGCCCCGAGCAGGGGCUUCUUCGCCCGUGGGCUCCCCUGGCCUAAACCAGGGACCAGUGAUGCCCUCAACCGCAGCCGGAGGCAGUGCGGCAAACGAGGAGCCCCAGGAGGCCUCUGACGACAACGUGGAGGUCCAGGGUCGUCCCCGGGAUGGCCGCCAGCACGUCUACGUGUGGCGCCAACGCGGGGACCACUUUAUUGGACACGAGGAGCUCGCGGAGACGGAGGAGGCCGCGAGGGUGGAGCGCGCGGCUAAGCGCCUCGUGGACGAGGUUAAGGUAGGUGGUCCUGUGUGCUCUUGGUAUAACUUUGUGCAAUUUUCCUGUGUUCGACAUUUGUCCUUUCUUGCAGGGUGCGAUGAAAACGGCGAAGUACCGGAAACGGUGCUUUGACCAGAUCGAAGGAAUUGUGGCCGAGAACAAGGCCCUGGCCGCGGAGGUGGAUCGGCUUCGGUCAGAAGUUGGAGAAAAAGUAUCCGAGAUGAGCGCUCAGGAAGAGCACCAUCUCGAGCUUACCCGACGCUUGGCCGAUCAGUUUCGGCAGCGAGAAGGUUAGUCUCGCACUCCGAGGCAGCUGCUUGUAGCUGCGUUGGUUAACUCCGCUGACCAGAGGACUAUUCAUGUAGGUUUGGAGGGGGAGGUCGCACGCCUUCGUCAGGAGAAAGAGCAGCUCAGCCAAGAGCUUGCCAGUGCGCUGGAGGCAGGGCGCCGAGCAGGAGAGGAGUUGGGUCGGAGGGACCAGGAGUUGUCUGGUAAUACGCGCCGCCCCGUUAUCUGCCACUGAUCGCUCUUUUCGAUAUGUUGAAAAUAACAUCUUGCUUGAUUUGCAGUGCUCAAGGUGAACGCCAAGAAGCACUUGGACGAGCUGGUCAAGGACCGGGACUCCUGGAAGGUCAAUUGUUGUAAGAUCUGGAAAGGAGUAUCCCCUGUUCUAGACUUGAUCAGCCCCGAGCUGCCGGAGAGCCAGCCCCGCGCGCCGAGAUUGACUCCAGUUGAAAAGGCGCAACAGGCGUGGGACUGGCUCCAGCAAUUCGUGAAGGACGCCGGGGAGUUUGCUGGCGCGCAUGUCCUUAGCAUGGUGCGCGCCCACUACCCCCUGGUCGACUUGACCAGGCUGGAGAAGGGGUAUCCCAAGGAGGUCGGCCCGCAGGAGGCGAACGAACUUUGGGGUGGUCUGCUGGAUUUGUCGUCGACGGUGAUCGGCGACAUCAAUCUAUGCGGAACGGCCACUCCCCCCGACCAGCCGGGUGCAGACAGGUCGGCCAGGGAGCUGUCGGGCACGUCCAUUGCGGGAGAUGGGCGGUCGACGCCUGCGGUCUUGACCAGCCAGGCGCCGGUGGCCCCGACUCCUUCGUCCGGGCAGCAAGGCCAGGCGGGUGAUCAGCCCGAGCAGUAGGCCAGUAGGAUAGUCUGUAGGAGUAGACUAGUGUCUGCCCGUCAGGGUGUUUAUUGUAAACUUUGUAUGUAAAGUUUGUAAUAAAGUUUGCUUUUGUCGUGACUACUAUUUUGAGCGCUGUGGAGUUAUCUGAGUGACGUGCCACUGUAUUUGACUUUGUAGUCGCUAAGAGCUUCCGUUGUAGAAGGCUUUCCGAGUUCUGCGUGUAACAAAGUGUAGGCAAAAAAGAGAAACUUUUAUUAUUGACAGCUAUAAGAUAUUUACAAGCGAAAGUGACUAGAGCUUAUGGGUAAAAUCGGCGCAGUUUGUCUAUGUGCCAAGAGUUAGGCACGCGUGUUCCGUCUGGGUAUGCCAAUCUGUAGGAUGUGGGUCGUGUGACUUCGGCGACCACGAAGGGUCCUUCCCAGGGAGUGGAUAGCUUGUGCAUUCCCUCUUGGCUUGUUUUCCACCUAAGUACCAGAUCGCCGACCACGAAGGAACGGUCCUUGACGUUCCUGUUGUGGUACCGCCUGACUGCCGCGAGAUACUUUGCUGUUCGGAGACAAGAAUUCAAACGCUUUUCUUCCAUGCAGUUGAUUUCAAGCUCUCUGGCGUUGUCGGCUGUUGACUGGUCGAAGUUUUCAAUCCUAGGGGAACCGAAGGUUAUGUCAGACGGCAGGACUGCCUCGGUGCCGUAAACCAUGAAAUAGGGUGACACUCCUGUUUUCCGACUAGUCUGAGUUCGGAGGCCCCAGACCACGGCCGGUAACUAUUUCAUCCAUCGACCGGGUGCUCUGUCGUUCUCGGUGUACAGCCUUUUCUUUAGGGCGUCAAUGAUCAUUCCGUUCGCGCGCUCAACUUGACCAUUGGCCCGUGGGUGAGCUACUGACACGUAUUUUAUGACAAUGCCCCUGUCAUCACAGAAGUCCCAAAAUGUGGUGCCAGUAAACUGAGUACCCAGGUCAGUAAUUAUACUGUUUGGAAUCCCGAAUCUAUGUAUGAUUUGAUUAAGGAACUCCACAGCCUUCUCGGAGGUUGCUUUGACCAGUGGCAUGUAUUCAAUCCACUUGGAGAACUUGUCGAUUAACACGAAAACGAACUUGAAGUUGCCAGGGGCCGGUUUAAAUGGCCCGAUCAUGUCGAGCCCCCAGCAGGCAAAGGGCCAGGAUGACGGGAUGGUUUGAAUCUCAUGAGCAGGUACGUGGGUCCUUUUAGCGAAGAACUGACAUCCCUCGCAGUGUCGGACCAGUUUUUCUGUGUCGUUAACCACGGUUGGCCAAUAAAAACCUGCUCGGAAGGCUUUCCCGACCAGCGUUCUGGAUGCGGCGUGAUUGCCGCAGGAUCCGGCGUGUAUGUCCUCUAGGAGCUUGAUGCCAUCAUCUUGGGAUAUGUAUUUGAGCAGUACUUUAGAACUUGCAUUUUUCCGCAUAAGUUUGCCGUCCACCAGUAAGUAAUUCUUUGAUCGUCGAAUGAGGCGCUCAUUCUCUGUUUUGUCCUGAAAGCCAGACUCGUCCGAUAUAUAUCUUAUGAAUGGGGUGCGCCAAUCACGGCCACUGGUUGUCGGAGUGGCAUCGUCUAUGAGCAUUGCCUCAGUGAGUUGCUUUUCGACCAGGCCUGUGCCCACACUUGGCUCCUGGAUGUCCUGGACGAAAAUGCCCCACGGGAUCUGGGCCCGAGAUGACCCUAACUUUGACAACGCAUCUGCUGCCUGGUUCUUAUCCCGGACCACGUGGAUGUACUCUAUGCCAUAGAAGUUGGUUUCCCAUUUGCGAAUUUCUUUGCAGUAGAGAUCCAUCUUCUCGUGGGUUGCGUCCCACUCCUUGUUGAGCUGAUUGAUAACUAAAGCAGAGUCGCCAUAGACAUAGAGGCGUUUGACUCCCAGCUCAACGGCUAGCCUUAUGCCGUGUAGGCACGCUUUGUAUUCGGCGACAUUGUUUGAUGCCGGAAAGAGGAUCCUAAGGACGUAACGCAGUUUGUCCUUGUUAGGCGAUACAAACAGUAUCCCAGCGCCGGCGCCGUUGAUGUUCAAGGAUCCGUCAAAGAACAUUGACCAGUGGUCGGAGACGUCGGGAACGGGAGGCUCGUUGAGAUCCGUCCAUUCAGCAAUGAAAUCGACCAAGGCCUGAGACUUGACUGGGGUUCGGCUCUGGAAUUCCAGGGAAAAUGGGCAUAAUUCCAUCGCCCAUUUUACGAUUCUGCCGUUGGCAUCUUUAUUGCGCAGAAUGUCCCCAAGUGGGAAACUGGUGGUGACCAAGACUCGAUGGCCAUCGAAGUAGUGCUUCAGCUUUCUUGACGUUAUUAGAAUGGCGUAUAUGAGCUUCUGUAUUUGUGGGUACCUGGCCUUGGACUCAUUUAGGACUUCGCUUAUGAAGUAAACGGGUCUCUGGACCUUGUAGACAUGACCUGGCUCGUCUCGUUCGACCACUAUUGCCGUGGAAACAACCCUGUCGGUUGCAGCAAUGUAAAGGAGUAGGUCUUCAUUGGGCUGAGGCGCUGUAAGAACAGGCGGUGAAGUGAGGAAAGUCUUAAGCUGAGUGAACGCGGCGUCGGCUUCCUUUGUCCAAGAAAACUUUCCCGACGCCUUCAAGAGUUUGAAGAAAGGGAGGCCUUUUUCUCCUAGUCUUGAGAUGAAGCGACUAAGAGCGGCCAUACAUCCGGUGAGCUUCUGAAUAUCCUUGACGUUUUUAGGUGGUCGCAUGUCGAGUACUGCUUUUACUUUUGAAGGAUUUGGCCGUAUGCCGUCGUGACUGACAACGUUGCCGAGCAGUAGACCAGAAGGAACACCGAAGAUGCACUUUUUGGGAUUAAGCUUCCACUUGUACCUAUUAAGCGCCUUAAAAGUUCGGUCUAAGUUGUCAAUUAGGGUGUUUGCAUCCCUUGUUUUGACGACGACGUCGUCUACAUAGGCUUCGACGAGGUCAUCACGAAUCUCGUCGUGGAGGCAUUGCUGUAUGGCCCGUUGAUAAGUGGCUCCGGCAUUUUUGAGUCUGAAUGACAUAGUCGUGUAGCAAUAUGCACCGAAAGGAGUAAUGAAAGACGUUUUUAUCUGAUCUUCUUCCUUUAGCGAGAUCUGGUGAUAGCCAGAGUAGUAGUCUAGAAAAGAGAGGAGUUCGCAUCCGGCCGUUGAGUCGACCACCUCGUCGAUGCGAGAGAGACCAAAAGGAUCUUUAGGAUAGUGUUUGUUGAGAUCAGUGUAAUCAACGCACAUUCUCCAUUCAUUAUUCUUUUUGCAUACAAGAACCGGAUUGGCGAGCCAAUCGGGAUGAUACACUUCUUUUAUGAAUCCGGCUGCUAGAAGCCGUGUUAUUUCUAUCCUAAUAGCCUCCUUUUUGUCACGAGCGAACCGUCGCAGCUUUUGCUUGAUGGGUCUUGUGGUCUUCGAGACAUUUAAGGAGUGCUCGAUCAGGUUUCGUGGGACGCCGGGUAUGUCUGCGGGUUUCCAUGCGAAGACGCUUACGUUGUCCCUUAGAAACCUGACGAGCGCGUCUUCCUAUUUAGGGUCCAGGUUGGCCCCGAUGAGGGCCGUCUUCUCGGGGCUGCCUUCGACCAGCUGCACUUCCUUGUGCUCCUUGGAUUUUGAGUUCUUCCUGAAGGUCUCCUGCUCGGGUAGUCGAAGCUGGUCUGGAGGUAGCUGUGCAGCCUGGGUUGCUGUCUCAGCCAUGCAGAUUGAGAGAUCGAUUGCUUCAGUGAUCUUGAAGCUCUCCUCCUCGCAAGUAUAUGUAGUGUAGACAUUGCCCCUGACAGUUAGGACUCCUUUCUCCGUGGGCAUUUUGAGGACCAGGUAUGAGUAAUGCGGGACUGCCAUGAAUUUUGUCAGCGAUGGUCGGCCCAGUAUGGCGUGGUAAGUUCCAUCAAAGUCGGCGACCACAAAGUUGACGAACUCUGUCCGAAAGUGGUCGGGCGUGCCAAAUUGGACAGGCAGUGUUAUUUGUCCGAGGGGCACUGAACUCUGGCCUGGCAAAACUCCCCAGAAUUGAGCAUCGUAGGGUUUUAGUUGUGCCAGUGAUAUCUUGAGGGCGGGCAGGCUGUUGCGGAAAAGGAUGUCAAUGGAACUUCCUCCGUCUACGAGCACGCGCUCGAACCUGAUGUUGUUGAUGCAUGGGUCCAGGAUUAGAGGGAAACGACCUAGCUCUGGGAUAGCAGCCCACUGAUCCUUUCUGCUGAAGGAGAUCUCCCUGUGCGACCACGGGGGAAAUUUCGGGUCGGCGAUCAGGCCGUCUGUGCUGUCUAUGUUGAGGCAGGCUCUCUUUAAGAGCUUUCUUUCUCGCUUGGAUUCGAUGGAGACCUUGCCCCCGAAGAUGGAGUGGACCACGUCAGUGGGGCUGACAUAUUGGUGUUGAGGGUCCCUAUCUUGGUCGUCGUCCUCGUCUUCGGGGUCGUGCCCGUUUCGUUUUCCAUUUUUCUUGGCUGAGUCGUCUUGGGCGGCCCGCCGCGUAUAGAUAUUUUUGAGGACACAGCAUUCUUCCAUGGUAUGAUUAGACUUUGGAUGCAAUUGGCACGGUCCCUUCAACGUUUUGUUGUAGUCUUCUUGGUAGUCCCGCCGCCCGUUGGGACGCUUGACCAUAUUCACUUCGUGGUCGUGGUCGCGGGGGCGCUUUCCUCUGAAAUCAUCGCGAUUGUCGCGUCGCCUGUCCCAACCUUCUCUGUGAUCACGAUUGUCGGGGCGGCGGUGGUUCCUGUUGUCGAGACGACCGCGACCGUCAUCUCGCCGGGGAGGCUGGUCGGGACCUCUCGCAUCGUCCCGGAUUAGUUUUUCUACGACGUCAGCAUCGGCGUAAUUUUUAGCCGUGGCAAGGAGUUCGGCCAUGGUUGUUGGCCUUUUGCGCAACAGCUUGUUCCUCAGUGCUUCAUGUAAGCGCAGGCCUUUAAUGAAGGCAGAGAUGGCCUCGUUGUGGGAAAUCUUCGGGAUCUUAAGGCGCAUAUCCGAGAAUCGCCGGAUGUAAUCGCGCAAAGGUUCAUUUUUUCUGUCCCUUAUCCUUUCGAGGUCGUACUUGUUUCCAGGCUGCUCGCAUGUAGCGAUGAAGUUGCCGAAGAAAUCCUGGCGUAGCUCUUCCCAAGAGUCGAAGGAGUCCUCGGGCAGGCCAAGGAGCCAUUGAUGACCAGCCUGGUCAAGGACUACUGGGAAGUAGUUGGCCAUGACGUGUUCAUCCCCUGCGGCUGAUCGGACGGUGAUUUCAUAGAGAGUGAUCCAGCUCUCUGGGUUUUCCUUGCCGUCGUACUUUUUGAGUUUCUCGAGCUUGAAAUUGCGGGGCCACAUGACCUGGCGGAUGUGUGAGGAGAACUGUCUCAGGCCCGGGGGGUCAUGCGUUGCAUCAUACUUGAUACGGCGCAGGUUUUCGUGGACUGCUCUCUCCGUGGCGCGCCUGUUGAUGCGGUCCCGGGCAUCUUUGGGAGGGAUGUUGUAUCGAAGAUCCCUAUGCUGGUUUACUUCUUGGCCACGCCUGCGAUUCUGCUUGCGUUGACCGCCAGCGUCCCGACCGCCGUCAUUACACCGUGAAUCUGUUCGAUGGUUGUCGGGGGAACGGCUGCGAUGGUGCCUGCUGGGCUGCGGUGAUGUCCGGCUACGGUGAGUCUGGUCGGAGGCGGCCUCUGUAUAGGAGACGGCCUGGACUCUUUUGAGCAGGGUGGCUGUCUGUCCCAUCGCGGCGAUCAGGUGUGCUCGGACACUAGUUCUGACCCCUUGGCAUUCGGGAGUAUCAGGGAGCCGGUCUAGAUUAGCCAUAGCGACAGCCACAUUGGCGCUCGGCGUUUUGUAAACUUGUUGAUCUCCGACCAUGUCAAAAGCGUCGCUGAGAUUCUGCGGCGGGAUUUGACGUUCCUCGUUCGCGCGUUGUUGGGCGCGAUCGGCGUUACGCUGCUCGCGGAGCUGCCUCUGCUCGUCUGUUUCUCCGUCAACAACCGGCUCGUCGGCGCUGACGUUGAAAACGAUGUCUCCUCGCCGGGGUGGGAAGACCGGGAAACGUGGGAAACCCGGAGGGUGUGACGGGAAAUCCAAGUCGUAGUCCUCAUCCUCGGAAUUUAUGACUUCAGUGGGAACGGAACCAGUGCUCGAAUUUGUGCUGGAAGCCUGGCCGUCCCGUAACUCUUGGAUCGUUACCAUGUUGACGUAAUGUCGAGCUGGUCGACCGCUCCCCUUUGGCACCCAACCAGCUUUAUUAAAGAGGGAUCGGACGUGUCUCGAGUAGAGAGAGGCCGAGUUGUUCAGACCGCGAGGGUAGUCUUCCUCCGGGUUGACCUUGAUCUUGACAGAUCGUCCUGAGGGAGUCGAGGUUAUCGCCAGAGACGUUCCCAGCCGUUCGUGUGUAGCGACACGAGUUGGCCGGUGGGAUUUGAAAAAAUCCGUUGAGGCGGCUUGAUCAGGCUGGCGUAAGAUUCCAUCUACAAGCCGGGAAGCUUCAAGUAGCUUGGAAUGGCGCGGUCAAGUGCCCGGAGAAGGUCUGAGCAGUCGAUCUUCUUUCCCUUGUAGAGCGGGGAUGGUGGUCGGGUGCUCGGAGCCGUCACCCGAGUGGUCGGAGCCGACGUGAUCCCAGAUUGGAUCUGGAUUCCUUCCGAAACCGUAGUCGUGAGACCACCGCCGCGCGUCGUCCACGUGAUCUGGCCGACAGUGAACGUGAGGCCUUCAGGAACGGCCGCGGAAGCUGGGAUUGUGACCAUCUUGUUCGCCGGAGAAGUUGCACGCACACCCCCUACCUGGCGCGCCACUGUCGACGAAAGCUAGUCGGCAGUCUACCUUGGGGUAUACCCACGGUAGUAGUUUAUCGGUAGACGGUGCACAAACUACGAACUCGUUGGUGACGCAAGACACGGACAAGCUUUUUAUCCAGGUUCGGCCGCCGAGUUGGCGUAAUACCUACGUCCUACGUCUUGUUGUAUUGGAUUGUGUUGAGAUAAUGUGUUCUAGGGGGUCCCUUGCCCCUCCUUAUAUAGUCCGGAGGGCAGGGUUACAGAUCUAGAAACUAAUCCUAGUCGGUUACAAUUGCCAUAGAUAGUUCGAUAUCAAUUCCUAUUCUAACCGACUAGAAUCCUGCUUGAUCUCCACGUCUUGUUUCCUUGCGCGAAACUCCAGGCAGUCGGAUCAAGCCUCGAGCUGUCCUCGUGAUGGGCCAAGCCUCCUGGCCCAAGUCUAGCCAUAAGGGUAUAGGGGUUUAUACCCCCACAGACCUGCUGCAGAGAUCGAUGGCAACUUUGAGCUCAAGCCUGGACUUAUCAACAUGGUGCAAUCCAACCAGUUCUGUGGGAAGGCACAUGAAGAUGCUAGUGCUCAUCUGCAACACUUCCUGGAGAUUUGCAACACAUUCACCAUAUCAAGAGUUUCCAAAGAUGCUAUACUACUUCGCCUCUUCCCAUUCUCAUUGUUAGGAAGAGCGAAGCAGUGGUUCUACGCUACAAAGGAGAAGAAUACUACGUGGGCACUGUACUCAACAAACUUCCUGGCUAAGUUUUUUCCCAUGGGCAAGACCAAUGCUCUCCGUGGGAAGAUUACAAGUUUUCAGCAACAAAAUGAUGAAUCUGUUCUAGAAGCAUGGGAGCGCUUUCAAGACUACAUCCUAGAAUGUACCCAUCAUGGAAUGGAGAGUUGGCUAUUGAUGCAGACGUUUUAUCAUGGGCUCGGCAACAGUGCCCGAGAGACCAUGGAUGCUGCAGCUGGAGGAGCAUUCUUAUCACUUACUAUAUCACAAGCCACAGCUCUUGUGGAGAAGAUGGCGUCCAAUCAAAGCUGGAAUGAAGAGAGGACCCAGACAUGCAAGAGAGGUGGAGGUAUGCAUCAGCUGAAGGAGGUAGACAUGCUGUCUGCAAAGCUAGACCUACUCAUGAAGAAGCUCGACGAUAGAGCUGGAGAUAAGAAGGAAGUUAUGCACAUCUACGACUCUCACAUGACUUGUGAGGAGUGUGGAGACACUGGACACUCAGGCAACCACUGCCCUGAGAUACUUGAGGAUGUGAACUACAUCAACAACAACUACUACUACUACAACCGUCCUCAACAAAAUCAAGGUUGGAAUCAACAGAGGCCUAACUACUCAGGUAAUUAUCAAGGUAACAAUUCUUACAACAAUACUAAUAAUUUUCCACCUUUGAGAGAGUUAGUGUCUAAUCAAGGAAAGCUAAUGGAUAACCUAUCUAAGAAAUUGGCAUCUAAUGAUAAAAUGCUAGAAAAUAUAAAUAAUAGAAUGGAUAAUUUCGCUACUGCCAUCAAGAAUCAAAUUAGCUUUAAUAAAAUGAUUAAAUCUCAGUUAAAUCAAAUAGCUGCUGUUGUUCCUGCUACUAACCCUGGUAUACCAUCACAACCGGAAGGAUUAGAAUCUGCAAAUCUUGUAGACAUGUUUGAUGUAGGUAAUUGGAGUUACCCCGUCACUGAAUUCUCUACUGACCUUCUGCCGGUCAAGAGAGGCGAUCCAGGACGCCCCGUCAUCCCAAUCUCCAUCGGCAUGGUGGACGUUCCAGAAGCACUCUGCGACUUUGGCUCUAGUGUCAACAUUAUACCCAGGGUACUCUAUGAGAAAUUCUUUACAUAUCCUUUAUUAGAGACAACCAUGUGUUUGCAGUUUGCAGAUCAGACAAUAAGUUUUCCAAAAGGAAUAGUGAAGAACCUUUAUGUCUGAGUUGGUACCUUAUAUGCCCCAGCAGACUUCAUAGUGGUAGAGACCGGUAAUGAUGAGAGGGCACCCAUCAUCUUAGGGAGGCCAUUCUUGAACACCACGGGAGCUAUCAUCUAUGUAUCUACGUCAAAGGGAGGAAGGAGACAUUUUUGUUCAAGAACAAGACUACACAAAUCCCAGAUCAAUCCAGACGUGAAUCAAGGAAGAGGACCAACAGGAGGAACAGGAACAAGCAAGUGUGGACCGAGUCAGCUAAGAUGGUCACUGUAGUUCAUGGAGGCCAAGAUCAACAACUUAAGUCACCGCUUUUGACCAAGAAGGAUGACCCAGGAAUGCCAAGGAUCUAUUGCUCCAUAAAUGGAUAUAACUUCUAUAAGACGACUUGCGACACCGGAUCGGGCGUCAACAUAAUGGCCGCAGUCACCUAUCAGCUCUUGUUCGGAACCAUGCCCCUAAAACCAACAUACAUUCAGCUCCAGAUGGCAGAUCAGACAUUUCAAGAAGUUAAAGUAAUAGUAACUGAUGUCCCAGUCAAAAUAGAUGAUCAUUUUGUCUACACAGACUUUCAAGUUAUUGACAUGGGAGAAGACGAAUACGAUCCACCCAUCAUCCUUGGAAGACCAUUCCUCAGCACCGUUAAAGCAAUUAUCUACAUUGGAACCGGAGAAGUCAAUAUACACUUCCCCUCAGAGAAGGUACGCCGUUAUUUUACUGACCCUAACUAUAGCGUUGAAGAAUCUAAGCAGGUCAGAAAGAGACGCAACCGCAACCAGAGGAGGGAAAUCAUCAAGGACGGAUGGGCAGACUAUGAAGGAGAAGUGGUAAGGUCAGAAGACGUAGAGUUUAAACAGAAUUAUCAAGAGGAGACCAUAGCACCGAGUCAGGUAUGGAAAGAGAAGAUAACUAUACAUGAAGAGGAGGCGCUGCCGGAAGUACUGACUACGCCACCCAACGAACCUCAGGACAAUUGAGAAAACGGAGAGUCCUGUUCGGAGGACUUAAAAACACCGAACGCCUUGCCAAGAGGUAAACUUGGUAGUUAUCCUUUCCCUUUCAAUUAUUUAAAAAUAGUUUACUUAGUUAAUCAUGUUCGUGCUAUCCUAAAAAGAAAAUAAAAAUGUGAAAAACAGUAAGCCCCAUGUGAGUAGACGAGUGGCAUAAAACCCAUAAGUACAUUCACUGUGGUGGCAUAAAAAUAAAGUAAAUAUUUUUCUGCUUUAUAAAACGAAAAUAUAAAAAUAGGGAGUAACAUUUAUUGAGGAGUCUCAACAUGAUAAAGGCUAGAUAUUUAUGCUAACACUUAAUCAGUUCCACAAGCUUUGUUGUCUAUUUGAGCUCCGCAGAAUUUAAGAAUCAAGAAGACUAGCAGACAGAGGACAUUCUAAUCGCUGUCACAAUGCUGCUGACUUUCAAAUACACCUCUGCCACCUGCUAGCUACAUCAAGAGAAAUUACGUCAAAAUUCAGCUUGGGGGAGAGCACCUCCAUUUAUCCCGCUAAGUAUUUCUAUCUAUCUUUAUACUUAUGUUAUAUUCGAAUUUAAAUAUAUAUAACUAUGGAAAAACCAAAUAAAGAUUUCAUGCUUAUAUAUAUAUAUAUAUCUUUUGCUUAGUGUGUUUAAUAAAUAAAUAAAGUGGCUAUGCUAAUAUGUAUCUAAAUAAAACUUAAGCAUGGAUAUGAUGAAUAGUUGCUCUGCUUAAUUUGCACAUUUUAAGUUCUCUCUCAAGUUUAGACAUAACUGUUAUAAUUUAAAUCUUGCUCUAGACCUAAACUUGUGGGAUGAAAAUUUGAUCUGAAGUCUAAGUUGUUAACGGAUACGAUAUGGAAAGGUUGAGCUGCUGUUUAUCUGUUCCUAGAGAUGCUAGAAUUCUGGGAAUUUUAUCUUUAAAAAUCUUUAAAAUAUUGCAUGAUGAGUUCCUGUAUGAUGAGAGUUUAAAUUCUUACCACAGCCAUAUAUACAUGCUUGCUAGACUUUGAGCCACACAUUUACUAUUUACUGCUUAUGAGCAUUGAGUGUGGUCAAGCUGUGUAGACCCUUAGGAGCUUGUCAUGUGGUUAAAUCAAGAUUCACUUGCACGUUCACUCAUAUAUGCUACUUCUACUCCGGAAGUACCAUCCACAUAUAUCCAUCCAUUUCCAUCUCCAGAAUCACCCAAAAUAUUCUACUCCUAAAUCCGGGAGAGAAUAUCCAAAAAUAUUUAUGUUUUUCCCUUGUGAAUUAAAUGCUCCAGUUAUCUUGUUACUACCACUUGCUAUAUUAUCUCAAGAGAUGAGUGCUCUAAAAAAAGAAAAAAAGAUACGAGGAAAUAAAAAGGGGCAAGUGCCCGGAACCUCGAAAGAAAAGAAAAAGUGAGACGAGAGGUAAAAAUGGACAAGUGUCCGACAGUAGAAUUAGGGGUACAAGAUACCCACCUGAGAGAAAAGAAAAAAGAGAAGAGCAUCUCAUUCUCCUCAUAAAGUUUCAAAAAGCAAGGAAGGUAUGUAUCCCCUCAAAGAGCAAAAGUAGAAUUAGACUUUCACCAUUGUUAUCACCAUCAUCACCAUACAUCAUUCAUUCGCCACACAUGCACAUCUUGAUUUGACUUUUUGAUUUGUUUCUUUGGAUCCAUGGUUUGACUAUGCAAUAAAUGUCUUGUAAGUAUGUAUAUUUUAUCUCCCACCUAUGAGCUCCAGAUAUAAAAGCCUUAUAAGAGUAGGGUGAGAGAGAAGGCAAUGUCACUAUGCCUUAUACCACAAAUACUACAUACUUUGAGAGAAGACAUAUACCAUCACUGCCUUGGUAAGGAUCCAGAAAUACCACAAAAGAGAGAUUUGAGAGAAUCAUACAAGGAAUCUCUGAGUUUUAUUUGAAAAUCUGCAAAAACAUCAGAGCUAUAGCUGAUCAAGAAUAAGAGACAUGGCACUUGACUAUUCUAUCUUUUAACUACUCAAGAUAGAAGUGACGGUUACAAGUCCCAUGGUGAAGGUAAAGUAAGUAAGUUUUAAGUCUUGACAGUUUACCCUAACUCAGAGAUAAGAUCUUAUUUAAAAACCAUGUGUACCGUCAAUUUUUAAAGAUAUUGCAACAACUUAUGAUCCAUAGCUGAGUCUAUCCUUGCUCAGGGACGAGCAAGAGGUAAGCUUGGGGGAGUUUGUUGACGGUCCUUAAGUAUCAAAUUUAAUUAUCAAAUAAAUAAAGAAAAGGAUCCAAAAGAAAUCAACAUCUAGACUUAGGGUUUUAUCUGACAGAAUUCCACGAGUUUUGGUGUUUGUCUAUUUCUACAGGGGGUUAUCAGGAAAUACGGAAGAAAGGCCCACAUGUCGGGAUUACAUAGAGAUAUUAACGUGCCGCGCAAUUAUCUUACAUCUAGAAGACUCCAGAAGCCACGAGACCGAAGCGGAGGCGAAACGAGGCCAGAGGUAGGGCGCCCGCCCUGUUCCCCUGGGCGCCCGCCCACCUCUGGAGUCCAAUCAGGACUCUGCUUUGUGGGAGAUCUCCACCGACCUAAAGGAUGAAUCUAAACCAUACAAUCUAUGUCGGUUUGAUCCAACGUCCCAUAUUCACUUGAAGGGACUAUAAAACCAGACCCCCUGGCCCCUGGAGGAGAGAGCCUCUCAACCCUAAUUCAUUGUUCCUCAAGGGAGAAGAAGCCUCUGAUCAAGAUUAGAGCCACCACAUCAAUUAGACAUCUAGAUUAGCAUAGCUACAUAGGAUUAGAACUAGAAGGAGUCAAUCUUCGAUUGGUUUCCGGAUCUGUCAAGAGGAUUCUUGGUAAUUCUCUAAUUGUGCUUCUAAUUGUUCUUCUAAUUAUCUUUGUUCUUCAAUAUUAUGAAUAUGACUUUGUUCUACUUCAAUAUAUUGCUUAUGACUUUGCUCUACUUGCUUAUAUUCAAGAUUAUAUUGUUCUUAGUUUAUCAUAGUUAUGUACUUGGCUUAGUUAGAUUGGAUCUAUAUACAUGCUUAGGAUCGUAUAGCAUUUAUCCAUCGGAUCCAUGGGUAAAUGAUAGAUAUUGUGUAGGCGUGGUGCUUAUACCGUAUUUAUCUGCGAUUGUACCCAAUAUGCCAGAUCGUGGGGUAGUUCGUGAUAGUGACAGCUUCAUUGAUUCUUAUAUAGUCCCCCUCUCGUGUAUUGGGCUGGCAGAGCAAUAUUAUUACAGGGGAGUGAUUGCUAUGUUUCUCAUUUACCUUGCUAAUAUCACUAUGCAUGGGUGUAGUCUUGUCUCGCAAUGAUUGCUAAGUAUGCUUGCACUAAUUAUGAUAAUGCCAGACUAUAUAGUUGAGAAUAACUUAGGGAAUAUUCUUGUAGUUCGUUCUAAUACCAUGCUAAUGACUUUCUAGAGUAUCUAAUUGAGGUGCUUAUCAUAUUUAUUAUGUGGCUAGAUCAGAUUAAUUAUCCUUGUCACUAUUCAUUAUUUCAUAUAUCUUUUAUGUGACACUUAUCCCUGUAUGAAGAGUUAGAUAAAUGUUCUCAAUUAUACAUGCAAUGAUAGAUACUCAAUCUCAUAUUCUAUUCUGUAAUCAAUAUUGAUGAUUGUUAAUCCCUUCCCAGUGGUAAAAAUAUAAAUAACGAUACCUGGAAUACUUCCCGGUUAAAAUGCUGCAUCGGUAUUAAUUUGUGUGCUUGCAGAUCCCAUUCAUUAUUUAUUUAGAAGAGCAAUUGCAUAUUUCAAUACCGCGUCUCUCAUAUCAUGCUGGGGAUGACAACUUGGAUUAAGUGGUGUGAGAGAUAGGUUUGGCAUUUUUGGCACCGUUACUAGAUUUAGAGAACUUAGUCUACUUUUGGUAAUGAUGUUAAGAAUACCCAACAGCCACUUCUUUUACUCCAUGUUCAUAUGCAACAUCUUCCCAAUCCAUUGGUUUUUCCAACAUCACCACAUUCGAGAUCUCCAACCCCCUCAUCCUUUCUAUUUAUAAAAACUUUAAAAGGGUGGUUGUCGAUGCAUAUGUCUAUAUUAAAUAUUGCAGAUCUCGUUGAGUUGAUCUUGAUAUAGGUCAGCGUUGGAGGGGAAACCACUUCGUUGACAUAAAAUUGAUGGUUUCCCAGGGACAAGCUUAGUGUCCUAAAACAAGCACUGAUCAGAUUGUAACAUGAGCUUUUAAUUAUUUGCAACAUUACCUUGUGUGUUGAGCAUAUAAGAAUAAUUGUAAAAAUAUUCCUUCGGGUAUUCUUGUCACUAACCUUUUCAGGAUUGGAGCAAGAAGAUCGGAUGAAUGACAAGCACAAGGUAUGUCCAACCAAUCAUCAUACAACAUUGAAUUAAAUUCAUCCAAACUUGAAUUUUGCAAAAUUCAAGCUUGGGGGAGUGCUUUACAUAAAAACAUAUUUUGCCAUGUUGCUAUGUUGGUUGUCCCUACCUUUGAGACAUGCUCAAUUUGUUAAAUACUAAUCACACUACUUCAUCUCCACUUGAGUAGAUCUCUAUAAAUGCUCUCAUGCUACCUUUAUUUGCUUUAGUAUAUGUCUAGGUUUGGAGUAGUUUCAUUUAUCGCUUAAUUAAACUUGGUGCUUAGUUUAGGAAUGAUUAUCUUACUUCCAAGGGGUUUUAAAUUAAGCAUCGUGCUUAGGUUAAAAAAGCCCUCCUGAAUCAAAUUAGACAUGGUGUCUAGGUUGAUUUUUGAGCCGAUAGUAUGCUAUAGUAGAUAUGGGAUAUUUUGUUGGACUAACCCCUGCAGGAAAACUUUCAAUAUCGACCUGGGAAGUCCUGAGAUAAACUCACAUUGGAGACAAAGAGAGAGACACAUGUAGUUUAACAAUAUACACAAGGAAGGCAUAGCUCACAAGAGAUGAUCCAUGGAGGGUGCCACACACACGAUGCACAACCGCUAAGAGAGGAAAGCUUCCAUAAGGUAAUACUGUACCAUCACUCUUCAAGAAAGGUAACAUCUUAAGGUACUUGAUUAUCACUUCUAUAAGCUUCUCCUUAUUUCUGGCAUUCACAUGAGUAAAAGAGACAAACAUGUAAGAUUUACAACUCUAGAUUAACCAAUCCAAUUAAUUCAGCAUGUUUAGUCCUUUAAUCUUUAUUUAUAGUACUACCUUCGUGAUCCCACACUCCUAAUCAUAUGAACUAAAAUGUUGCACAUGCAAUCUUUGAAAGAUAUAUAUAAAAAAAACAUAAGUAUAGAUAGAUUAUCUUUCCAUUAGGUUGAGUGAUCUGAUCUGACAAAUGUUUUAAAUGCUACACUCAUGAUCUUAUUAUCCAUCAACUUUGUCUUGCUCACUAUGCUGAAGGUUAGAGAGAACAAAUACACUUUUGGUUCUGUUGGUGUUUCCACCAACUGGGCCCAUGCACUUGAUCUCUGCCUUGUCUCUAUGAGCAGGUACACUUCGAGCAAAAUAUGGAGGAGUUUUACAACUCCCAGACUCCACCUAUUGAAGAACCUAGAUCUACGAGCACAAACACACUGGAGAUACUAGACACUCAGGCAAUCACUGCCCUGAGAUGCUUCAGGAUGUAACUACUAGAGCAACCCCAUUGUGGAAGUAAUUACUGACCUUCUAUUGGUCAGGAGAGACAAUCCAGGACGCACCGUCAUCCCGAUCUCCAUCGGCAUGGUGAACUUGCCAGAAGCACUCUGCGACUUUGGCUCCAGCGUCAACAUUAUGCCCAGGGUACUCUAUGAAAAAUUCUUUACACAUCCAUUAUUAGAAACAACCAUGUGUUUGCAGCUUGCAUAUCGUACGCUAUGUUUCCCAACGAGAAUAUUGAAGAACCUCUGCGUCCGAGUUGGUACCUUGUACCCCCAGCAGACUUCGUGGUGAUAGAAACCGGUUCUGAUGAGGGGGCACCCGUCAUCCUAGGGAGGCCAUUCGUGAACACCUCGGGAGCUGUCAUCUACGCUAGUGCUACCAAGAUCAGAUUCUACAUCAAGAGGAGGAAGGAGACGUUUUCCUUCAAGAACAAGACUACACAAAUCUCAGAGCAAUCCCGACAUGAACCAAGGAAGAGGACCAACAGGAGGAACGGGAACAAGCAAAUGUGGACCAAGUCAGCUAAGAUGGACACUGCAGUUCAAGGAGGUCAAGAUCGUCGACUCAAGUCACCAUUCCUGACAAAAAAAAAGGGACGAACCAAGUAUGCCAAGCAUCCAGUGCUCCAUUAAUGGAUACAACUUGUAGAAGACGCUUUACGACACCGGAUCAGGCGUCAACAUAAUGGCCGCAGUCACCUAUCAACUCCUGUUCGGAACCAUGCCCCUAAAACCUACAUACAUUCAGCUCCAGAUGGCAGAUCAGACAUUUUGAAAGGUUAUUGACAUGGGAGAAGACGAGUACGAUCCACCCAUCAUUCUUGGAAGACCGUUCCUCAGCACCGUUAAAGCAAUCAUCUACAUGGGAACCGGAGAAGUCCACAUGCACUCCCCCUCUGAGAAGGUACGCCACUAUUUUACUGACCCUGACUAUAUAGUUGAAGACUCUAAGCAGGCUAGUACAAGAAGAAGACGACGCAACCGCAACCAGAGGAGGAAAAUCAUCAAGGACGGAUGGGCGGACUAUGAAGGAGAAGUGCACCGAGUUAGGUGUGGAGAAAGAAGAUAGUUAUACACGAAGAGGAGGGGCCGCCGGAACCACCGACUACGCCAUCCAGCGAAUCCCAGGACGACUGAGAAAAUGGAGAGUCCCGUUCGGAGGACUUAAAAACACUGAACGCAUGGCCAAGAGGUAAACUUGGUAGUUAUCCUUUCCCUUUCAAUUAUUUAAAAUAGUUUGCUUAGUUAAUCAGGUUCAUAUCAUCUCGAAAAGAAAAUAAAAAUGUUAAAAAUAGUAAGCCCCAUGUGAGUAUGCUCAUGGCAUAAAACCCAUAAGUGGUGGCGUAAAAACAAAAUAAAUAUAUUCCUGUCCUAUAAAAAUGAAAAUAUAAAAAUAAAUUUAUGACCCUACUAAAGAGAGUAAUAUUUAUUAGAGGAAGCUCAACAUGAUAAAGGCUAGAUAUUUAUGCUAACACUUAACUAGUUCCACAAAGCUUUGUUGUCUAUUUGAGCUCCACAGAAUUCAAGGAUCAAAGAAGACUAGCAGACGGAGGACAUCCUAAUCGCUGUCAGGGUGCUGCUAACAUUGAAAUACACCUCCGUCACCUGCUAGCUACAUCAGAAGAAAUUACGUCAAAAUCCAGCUUGGGGGAAAGCACCCCAUUUAUCCAGCUAAGUGUUUCUACUCGCGUUUAUACUUUACUCAAAUAAUAAAAAGAUGCAUAAUCAUAUAAAAACCCAAUUAAAGAUUUUGUGCUUAUAUAUAUAUAUCUUUGCUUAGUUUGCUAUAUAAAUAAAUAAAUAAGUAAAGUUUAUUAUGAACCCUCAUGAUAAGCUCUCACAUGGAAAUGAUGAAUAGUUGCUCUGCCAUGACUAGUUCUCAAAAUUGAAAUCUCUCUCAAGUUUAGGCAUGACUGGUAUUAAUUAAGAUUUGCUCUAAACCUGAACUUGUGGGGAGAGUACUUGAUCUAAAGUCUAAGUGGUUAACGGAUACGAUAUGGGAAGGUUGAGCUGUUGUUUAUCUGUUCUUAGAGAUGCUAGAAUUCUAGAGAAUUUUAUCUUUGAAAAUCUUUAAAAUAUCACAUGAUGAGUUCCUGUAUGAUGAGAGUUUAAAUUCCUACCACAGCCAUAUAUACAUGCUUGCUAGACUUUGAGCCACACAUUUACUUUUUACUGCUUAUGAGCAUUGAGUGUGGUCAAGCUGUGUAGACCAUUAGGAGCUUGUCAUGUGGUUAAAUCAAGAUUCACUUGCACGUUCACUCACACAUGCUGCUUCUACUCCAGAAGUACGCAUCCACAUAUAUCCACCCAUUUCCAUCUCCAGAAUCACCUAAAAAAUAUUCUACUCCUAAUUCGGGAGAGAAUAGCCAAAAACAUUUCUGUUUUCCCCUGUGAAAUAAAUGCUCAAGUUAUCUUGGUUACUACCACUUGCUACAUUAUUUCAAGAGAUGAGUGCUCUAAAAAAGAGAGAAAAAAAAGAAAGAAUACGAGGAAAUAAAAAGUGGCAAGUGCCUGGAACCUCGAAAGAAAAGAAAAAGUGAGAGGAGAGGUAAAAAUGGACAAGUGUCCGAUAGUAGAAUUAGGGGUACAAGAUACCCACCUGAGACAAAAGAAAAAUAAAAUAUAGAGCAUCUCAUUCUCCUCAACAAGUUUCAAAAGAGCAAGAAAGGUAUGUAUCCCCUCAAAAGAGCACAAGUAGAAUUAGACUUUCACCAUUGUUAUCACCAUCAUCACCAUACACCAUUCAUUCGCCACACAUGCACAUCUUGAUUUGACUUAUUGACUUGUUCUUCUCGAUCCAUGGUUUGACUAUGUAAUAAAUGUCUUGUAAGUAUGUAUUAGCUGUCUCCCACUUAUGAGCUCCAGAUAUCAAAACUUUAUUAAAGUAGGGUGAGAGAGAAGGCAAUGCCACAAUGCCUCAUACAAAAAAAUACCACAUACUUUGAGUGAAGGCAUACACCAUUAUUGCCUUGGUAAGGAUCCAGAAAUACCACAAAAGAGAGACUAGAGAGAGUCAUACAAGGAAUCUCUGAGUUUUAUUUGAAAAUCUGCAAAAACUCCAGAGCUAUAGUUAAUCGAAGAACAAGAGACAUGGCGCUUAACUAGACCGUUCUAUCUUUUAACUACUCAAGACAGAAGUGAUGGUUACAAGUCCCAUGGUGGAAGGUAAAAUGAGUAAAUUCAAAUCUUAAAAGUUUACCCUAAUCCAGAGAUGAGAUCUUGUUUGGACGAAUGUGUACCUUUAAGGCAUGAAACUACUGCAGAAACUCUUGAGUUCAUCUUUGCUGAGGGACGAGCAAAGGUUAAGCUUGGGGGAGCUUGUUGACGGUCCUUAAUGCUCACAUUUAACCAUCAACUAAUCAUAGGAAAGGAUCCAACUGCAACUAACACCUAGACUUAGUGUUUUAUCUGACAGAAUUCCACGAGUUUUGGUGUUUAUCUAUUUCUGCAGGGGGUUAUCAGGAAAUACGGAAGAAACGCCCAUACGUUAGGUUUACAUUGAGAUAUUAACGUGCCGCGCAAUUUUCUAUCAUCUAGAAGACUCCAGAAGCCACGGGAACAAAGCAGAGGCUGAGAGGGCUCAGGGACAGGGCGCCCGCCCAAGUCCUUAGGGCGCCCGCCCAGCUACAGUGUCCAAUUCAGACCCGUUUCACGUAUUAUGCUCCACCAACCUAAAGGAUCAAGGAAAACCAUACGAUCAAUGUCGGUUUGAUCUGACGGCCCAGAUUCAUCUGAAAAGACUAUAUAAGCAAGGCCCGCUGGCCCCUGGAGAUCAUAUCUCUUCUAUAGAAUCAAAGCUAGGGUUUCAAUUCUAAAUCCA
rnacentral:lncRNA from 1 species